CCCCCAAGCAAACCCCCCCCCCCCUUUCCGUUCCACUGUUCAUGACCCCUGACCAGCCCCUUCCUGUCUUCUUCCCAUCGCCCUCGCAACGACCACCCCACAGCCCUUCUCACUUCUAUCAACCGGAGUCGAACCAGCUGUAGCACGUCAUCUCCGUCCACGACCACCAUCUCUUUCGUUGUUUCACCUGUCCAAACAACCCUCAGCUUCAUCGUCUUCUUCAUCACCAAGCAACCAGUCCACUACCAAUGUUGUCUUCAUCUUCUUCUUGGUUCCAGCAGCUUCGUCAUCCCAAACAGCUACUGUCUUGUCGACCACUGUCACGCCAAUGACCCCAGCCAUCAUUGCACCAACGUUGGUGCACGUGCCCGAAACAAGCGUCAUAGUAAAAUCACACACGGUCAUAAGCAGAAAGUCGAACAACUGGGUUUAGCGAGCUGCCUCAUCGUAUUUCAGUUUUGGAACCCUUGAGAUCGAUGGAGGUAUUACUUUUCGAGUUUUGUCUGCUGGGGUUGGGUUCAUUGAGGUCAUGAUCAAUGACUCUUCUGUUUUGAGCCAUUUAUUCUUGAGAUCUUUUUGCUUCAUUUUGGUUUUAUCGGAAAGUUUCUUCAGGUCUGUCCUUCAUCUUCUUCGUUUUGCUAAUAUGAUUUUAAUGGCUCUGUAAAGAUUCAGAGUUUAUGGCUUGUGUUUCACUUUGUGUUCAUUAUCCUACCAUGCUUUAACUUUAUUUUUUUUGUCUCUUAUUAAGUUAUUGAAUCCUUUAUCUUGGUUGUAAUGUUAUUGGAUUUACUUUGAAGUUCAAUUGAAUUUUGAGUUUAGUGAUUUGAAUCUGUUUGUUUAUUCUAUUAAGUUUGAUUUGAAUAUGAUUUUAGUGAUUUGAAUCUACUUAUUUGUUAUGUUCAGUUUGUUACUGUUGUUGAAUCUGAAAGUACGUUUUUUAAAAUAUUGUUCAGUCAAAAUAAUUUUAGCUGGUUCUUUGUUGUUCAUCAUCUGGUUUGGUUCCUUGAAUCCUUAGUCUUUGUUUUAAUGAUAUUUGAUAUAAAUGAGUUUCUAGCUUGAAUUUAUGGAUUGAAUUUGAUUAAGAUUGGUUAUAGCUGCUACAAUUUGGUUAAUUGAUUAGGUAUUUUGGAUAUAGCAAAUGUGGUAGGAUAGUAAUUUCGUAAUAUGGGAGUUAGGAAAAUUUCAAAAUGGUUUAAACUUAGUGGCAAUUAAAAUAAUGAAUUGUUUAAUACAUAGUGGGGGACAAGACAUAUGAUAGUGGGAACUAAUACAUUUGUUUAAUAUAUGGAAAUAAGAUAUAAUGAUGUAAAGGAAAAAGGGAUUUGAAAAGUAAAAGGAGUGGAAUAAUAAUGAAAAAGUUAAAAGUGUUCACAUAAUAGAAGAAUAUAAAGCUGGAAAGUAAAAAGGAGUAGGGGUUAUGAUAAAAGAUUUUCUUUGACAACUGUAAAAAAAAAAAAAGGAGGGCUAAAAGGAAAAAGGGUUUUGGGUUUGAAUAUAGAGAUUACGAGUCAUUAGGAAAAAGGAGAAUAAGAGUUAAGAGUCAAGAAAAACACAGAGACAGAGAAAGAAAGAUUUUAAGGAUCAGUUCUUCUUGAAAGUUUUAAAAACUGAAUUCUUCCAUACUUUGAAACCUUAAGAAUUAGAGAGCUGAAAACCCCACUGUUUAUUUGAAGCUUCUCUUUUUGAUUAAUUGAUUUCAUUUCUCUUGAUUCAAAUACACUAUUUUAAGUAACUCUAGUGUAUCUUUGAGUUCAUUUGGCUUGCGUUGAUAUUGUUGUGGGUUAAGGUCCAUUUCUGUUGGUAUUUUCUGGUUUGAUUUUUACUGGUUUCUGAUCUGUUCCUGGGCUGUUGCUGGUUGCUAUUUGGUGUUGCUAUUGUUGUAUGCUACUACUAGUCUGUUGAUCACUCCUCCUUUUUUUUUGCUUCUAAUAUCAGGUACACAACUAGUACGCAUUAUUGUAAGCCGUAGCAUAGAAGCAUGAUAUAUAAAUUAUAUAGAGUUGAAGUUGUAAACUUAACAUAGUUUCUUUCAUUUUACUGCUUAUAGUUAAGAGCAUGAUGUAUAAUUUGUCGUAUAAACUUCUACCAUUAUUUUUGUGUAAGUGGACAGUUCUGUGAAAUGUAGUCCAACAAUAUUUAAUCUUAGUUUUAUUAUUAAGUAGUAAUAUGUUCAAAUGCGUGUCUGGCCCGUUAGACUGUUCUUAAAUGCCAAACAAGUGAAGAUGCCUCAUUUAAAUAGUUGCCUAUUUUAAAACUUGUAGUAAUAUUGCUUAAUUAGAUAGCAUUACUUUACAUUUCUGCCUCAUAAAGUUCUGAAUAUGUAUAGGAUAAUUUAGUUAGGCCUAAC
rnacentral:lncRNA from 1 species